rnacentral:rRNA from 1 species
GGCCUAAUACAUGCAAGUCGAGGGGCAGCAUAAUCUUCGGAUUGAUGGCGACCGGCGCACGGGUGCGUAACGCGUAUGCAACCUACCCACUACAGGGGGAUAGCUUUCGGAAACGGAAAUUAAUACCCCAUAACACAUAAGUGCCACAUGGUACUAAUGUUAAAGAUUUAUCGGUAGUGGAUGGGCAUGCGUAAGAUUAGAUUGUUGGUGAGGUAACGGCUCACCAAGUCUACGAUCUUUAGGGGUUCUGAGAGGAUGAUCCCCCACACUGGUACUGAGAUACGGACCAGACUCCUACGGGAGGCAGCAGUAGGGAAUAUUGGUCAAUGGGCGAGAGCCUGAACCAGCCAUGCCGCGUGC